rnacentral:piRNA from 1 species
UAUGCCUUAGACACCAGUCAUCAAUGGAAGU